GGGCGCGUAGCUCAGUGGCAGUAGCGCUCGCUUUGCAUUUCAUGCCUGCGAGAGGUCGUGAGUUCAACCCUCACCCCGUCCA
rfam:Calocera cornea HHB12733 unplaced genomic scaffold CALCOscaffold_166, whole genome shotgun sequence.